GGGAGUAUAUGGGUACCGGUGUGCCCCCUGGUCUUCAAAACUAGUGCUGGUGGUUAAUAGCCGCUUAGGUGAGUUCGAUUCUCACAUACUCCC
rnacentral:tRNA from 1 species